rnacentral:rRNA from 1 species
UACGUAGGGUGCAAGCGUUAAUCGGAAUUACUGGGCGUAAAGCGUGCGCAGGCGGUCUUGCAAGACAGAUGUGAAAUCCCCGGGCUUAACCUGGGAACUGCAUUUGUGACUGCAAGGCUGGAGUACGGUAGGGGGGGAUGGAAUUCCGCGUGUAGCAGUGAAAUGCGUAGAUAUGCGGAGGAACACCGAUGGCGAAGGCAAUCCCCUGGACCUGUACUGACGCUCAUGCACGAAAGCGUGGGGAGCAAACAGG